rnacentral:lncRNA from 1 species
CUUGCUCACCCUUGACUUGGAAAAACCAGUUUCUCUUUUAUUGUCUGUUACUAAUCUCUAUUCUAAAAAUUCAGCUCAAUUCUCAACCAUACUCCAAACUCUCUCUUUUCCAGCUACCUUUACUCCCUCUCCUUCAAUUCCACUUUCCUCUGCUUACUUUUUUUUUUUUUCUGACAGGGUCUCACUUUGUCGCCCGGGCAGGAGUGCAGUGGCUCAAUCUUGGGCUCACUGCAGCCUCAACCUCCCAGGUUCAAGCGAUUCUCCUGCCUCAGCCCCUCAAGUAGCUGGGACUACAAGCGCACACCACCACGCCUGACUAAUUUUUUGUAUUUUUUUGUAGAGGCGGGGUUUCACCAUGUUGCCCAGACUGGUCUUGAACUCCUGAGCUUAAGCAAUCCACCUGCCUCGGCCUCCCAAAGUGUUGGGAUCACAGGCGUGAGCCACCGCAUCCGGCCUCAUGUUCUUUUUCAUUAAAGAGAGAAAUCAACUAUUCAGGACCGGCCCCCACCUUUCCUCAGGAGUCAUUUCUGUUCCGCACAGGCCUGCUGAACUGGGUGCUUUAUAUAGGACACUGUCAUCUCUCAAGUACCCAUCUUGGAGGGUACGGACCCCACAUGAGGGUGAGGCUCUCUGCACACUCCAGAAUUUCAGUGGAGUGAAGUUCAGGAGGCAUGGAGCUGACAACCAUGAGGCCUCGGCAGCCACCGCCACCACCGCCGCCGCCACCACCGUAGCAGCAGCAGCAGCAGCAGCAGCAGCAGCAGCAGCAGCAAGAGUAACUCUGACUUAGGAAUAGAGACAGCCAGAGAGAAAUGUGAUCAAUGAAGGAGACAUCUGGAGUGUGCGUGCUUCUUCAGAGGGACGGGUGAUGGGCAGAUUGGAAAAAGCACCGCAGAUGGGAACCUUAAUCUUUCUUUUCUAAAAUUGAUGCUAUGAAAAUUUGCGUUUUCUGUAACUUGUAAAAACUAAAAGUUGCUUGUCUAC